AAAAUCGAAUUCAAGAAACACUUCGGUCAGCUGAAAGCCGAGCUGGAUUUCUGGGAAGCGCGGAGCCACGCGGUUCCCGUGGCGCUGGAUCCCGAGGCG